rnacentral:snoRNA from 1 species
AUCAUCUGGAUUUUCAGUGUCUGAAAAACUCAAAUAUUGUUUGUGUUAGCUUCAUCUCUUGUUUGAACGACGAGUUGGGAGUUAAAUAACAACACUAAAUCA